rnacentral:rRNA from 1 species
UACGUAGGGGGCAAGCGUUGUCCGGAUUUAUUGGGCGUAAAGAGCGUGUAGGCGGCCGUACAGGUCAGCUGUGAAAACUCGAGGCUCAACCCCGAGACGUCGGUUGAAACCGUACGGCUAGAGUCCGGAAGAGGAGAGUGGAAUUCCCGGUGUAGCGGUGAAAUGCGCAGAUAUCGGGAAGAACACCCGUGGCGAAGGCGGCUCUCUGGGACGGUACUGACGCUGAGACGCGAAAGCGUGGGGAGCGAACAGG